rnacentral:rRNA from 1 species
GUACACACCGCCCGUCACACCAUGGGAGUUGGGUCCACCCGAAGGCCGUGCGCCAACCUUUAUAGGGGGCAGCGGACCACGGUGAGCUCAGCGACUGGGGUGAAGUCGUAACAAGGUUUCCGUAGGUGAACCUGCAGAAGGAUCA